rnacentral:rRNA from 1 species
CAAUAGCGUAUAUUAAAGUUGUUGCAGUUAAAAAGCUCGUAGUUGAAUUUUUGCUUGCCGCCGAUGUCGGAACUUCCGUACGUUCGGCGGCGUGCAUCCUUGGGUGGAACCUGUGUGGCAUUAGGUUGUCGUGCAGGGGAUGCUCAUCGUUUACUGUGAAAAAAUUAGAGUGUUCAAAGCAGGCUUACGCCGUUGAAUAUAUUAGCAUGGAAUAAUAAGAUAGGACCUUGGUACUAUUUUGUUGGUUUGCGCACCGAGGUAAUAAUUAACAGGGACAGUUGGGGGUAUUCGUAUUCCAUUGUCAGAGGUGAAAUUCUUGGAUUUCUGGAAGACGAACUACUGCGAAAGCAUUUACCAAGGAUGUUUUCAUUAA